rnacentral:rRNA from 1 species
UACGGAGGGAGCUAGCGUUAUUCGGAAUUACUGGGCGUAAAGCGCACGUAGGCGGCUUUGUAAGUCAGAGGUGAAAUCCUGGAGCUCAACUCCAGAACUGCCUUUGAUACUGGAGAGCUUGAGUCCGGAAGAGGUGAGUGGAACUCCGAGUGUAGAGGUGAAAUUCGUAGAUAUUCGGAAGAACACCAGUGGCGAAGGCGGCUC